UAGUAGAGGAAGCAGAUGAAGACAAUGAGUCAUUCUCUCUCGGUUUCGUGCUGAGAGCAAACGGUCAGAUCUUCAUUUGUUCCAUAGGAAUUCCACACAACAUACAAGCCCACUGAGGCCCGUGACAAAGGAUAAUUCGAGGAAGAAGAAAACCUGUGGGCUGCAUUCUCCUGUGACUGACCACGGGAACCAUGACUUGGCACUGUCAUUAUGCAUGGACGCUCACUGGCGCUCUCAAAAUAGUUCAGGGGAUCUCAGCACUGAUGGCUCUAUGCAGCGUGACCGGAUCCCAUUACGACCUCCCAUCUCACUACUUGUCCAUGCGUACUCCGGCCCUGCUCAUGACCUUCGUUUGUUUUUGUUUUUGCCUCACCAGCUUCAUCAUUCUCGCAGCCGUAGUCAUGGGAAGCACCGACAUCCCUUAUUCCAUUUUCUAUCGCUUGUAUAGUGCUGUUGCCUCGGUUGCCUUCAUAGGGGUGGGUAUAACGUACCUAAGCAAAGAAAGCAGGUUCUUGCCAAGGAAGACUGGGGGAACGGUUGCCGCGGGGCUUUGCAUUAUCAACAGUCUUUGUUUCUUUGCGGACACUGUCAUAGCUUACGAACCUCCAGUUGAAGAAGACAUGUGCUCGUUUUAAAUCGACGAUCGAACGCGGUCGAACUGUGACAGCUUCUAGUUCACGGAGGUGAAUCCAGAACCAACAAUAAUAAAAUGAGUCAUUGUAACAUG